rnacentral:misc_RNA from 1 species
GAUGAAGAACGUAGCGAAAUGCGAUAAGUAAUGUGAAUUGCAGAAUUCAGUGAAUCAUCGAAUCUUUGAACGCACAUUGCGCCCGCCAGCAUUCUGGCGGGCAUGCCUGUUCGAGCGUCAUUUCAACCCUCGAGCCCCCCCGGGGGCCUCGGUGUUGGGGGACGGCACACCAGCCGCCCCCGAAAUGCAGUGGCGACCCCGCCGCAGCCCCCCCUGCGUAGUAGCACACACCUCGCACCGGAGCGCGGAGGCGGUCACGCCGUAAAACGCCCAACUUUCUUAGAGUUGACCUCGGAUCAGGUAGGAAUACCCGCUGAACUUAAGCAUAUCAAUAAGCGGAGGA